CUCUGCGCUCGGGAAAUGUACCGUGUUGUAUGGGAAAGACAAUUACUAGAAAGAAGGAAAAACAGAAAGCAGGACUAUGCAGGAUUCAAUGCCAAACGAUCGCUAGGAAGCACUAGGAAGUCUUUCAUUAAUCCAUUCAACAAAUAUUUAUGGAGUACUCACUGUUUUGGGUGCUGAAGAUAGAAAGAUGAAUGAAACAUGGUCUCUGCCGUGAAGGAACUUACAAAUCAUUAAGGGAAGACAUGUGUCAGAAAGGUCACGGAGUUGGUAACAUUUGCCCUGAGUCUGGAAAGUCUUGAAAGGCAGGAUUGGAAAGAUUUGGAGUCAGACUCCAUGGGCACAGUGACCUCACUCCCAAAUGAUUAAAUUAGGACAAAAGUGCAGGGAAAAUGAAAUUAUAUAAAUGCCACUGAAAUGCAUUUCACACAUUUUCUGAUUUACUCCUGACCAUGCACCUCUGAGGAAGGUACUACUGCCAUCCCAAUUUUCCAGACCAGGA